GAAGAGAUCCUAAACACUGUUAUGAUUUAUGUGCAUAUGUUAUUAUCAGCUGUAACUCGUACACAUAUUUACAUCGAGAUGAUUUGCAUCGCAGCACAAGCUUCAGCAGGUUUUAUAUCUCUGUGAGUCUGAACUCUGAGAAUCUGAACCAACAGCAACCAUGAGCUUCAUCACCAUCUUCAUCUGGAUCUUCACUAGCUGCUGUUUCACAGAAUCAGCAGGUGAAGUGACAGUCACUCAGACGCCUGCAGAGAAACCUGUUCAACCAGGAGACACAGUUACUAUGUCCUGUAAAACCAGUCCUGAAGUCCGGCAGGGUUGGAGUUAUGAGCCUCUUUCCUGGUACUUACAGAAACUUGGAGAAACUCCUAAACUCCUGAUUUAUAAAACAAAUGUCCUCAGGUCAGGAACUCCAUCUAGAUUCAGUGGCAGUGGAUCUAAAACUGAUUUCACUCUGACCAUCAGUGGAGUCCAGACUGAAGAUGCUGGACAUUAUUACUGUCAGAGUUACCACUGGAUCAACAGUCAACGAGUGUUCACACAGUGA